rnacentral:rRNA from 1 species
UACGUAGGGUGCAAGCGUUGUCCGGAAUUAUUGGGCGUAAAGAGCUCGUAGGCGGUUUGUCGCGUCUGCUGUGAAAACCGGAGGCUCAACCUCCGGCCUGCAGUUGGUACGGGCAGACUAGAGUGCGGUAGGGGAGAUUGGAAUUCCUGGUGUAGCGGUGGAAUGCGCAGAUAUCAGGAGGAACACCGAUGGCGAAGGCAGAUCUCUGGGCCGAAACUGACGCUGAGGAGCGAAAGCAUGGGGAGCGAACAGG